CAGGGAGACAACAAAAUGUUAAAUAUUAUUAUUUUGUCACCUUAGGUCGAUCGGUAUCUCAUGUUCUUAAUUUGUUAAGAAUUUCAUUUCCUAAGUUUUUCUAGGUCACACCCAUUAUUUUUCCUGGGCCAUUAGCUCAGGUGGUUAGAGCGCACCCCUGAUAAGGGUGAGGUCCCUGGUUCAAGUCCAGGAUGGCCCAUAUCUCUAUGUUGGGGGUAUAGCUCAGUUGGUAGAGCGCCUGCUUUGCAAGCAGGAUGUCAGCGGUUCGAGUCCGCUUACCUCCACUGAUUACCACCUCUUACAUAACCGGUAGAAAGGAAAUGUUUUGAGUUGUGAUCAUUAUUCUGAACGAAUCUAGCUUCCUAAAAAAAUCAUUAAGAUGCUGGACUCAUUGAAUUAAUUUCAUUGUUUUCAGAGAACCUUGACAACUGCAUAGAUUAUUUUAAAGACAAUAAGCAUCUUUAAUGAUGCAGAUUUAUUAUUUGUGCGAAUGCAUUAAUAACAAUUCUAUUAAGCUGAUGCUUCAGUUUUUGAAGUUAUU
rnacentral:tRNA from 1 species